AUGAAACUGAUGCUGAGAAUGGCAUCUGACCCUCUGAAGUUUGUCCACAAGGUUCUCAACCAUUCAGAGAUGAGCCCCCAAGACACUGAGGUCUGCCUUGAAGCAGCCUCAACAUCACCCUUAGAAGCAGCAUCCAGACCUAUGAUGGGACCUAUAAGUACCAUCUGCCCUUGUUUUGACCACACAUCUCCAGCUCUUUAUGCAAGUGUGGCCUCACGUCCAGAUUCAGAGAGUUCAGAGAAUUGUCCUGAGAGCCUGCUCUUUUACAGCUCAAUGAAGGAUGAUGAUGCAGUGGAGACCAAGUCAUACCACCUGUUUCCAAGUGUCCCAGAGCCUUUUAAGAGAGGAGGCAAAUACAUAAAUAUUAACAGAUGAUGGUUUUGCAAGUAAUUUCCAUGGAACUUGUCAAG
rnacentral:lncRNA from 1 species